AGAACAACAGAGCAGAACAUAAGAGGUGUGAGUUGAGUGAGCCUGCAUCCAAAAUUGGCUACCAGAUUAAGAGUGCUGUGGCAAGGAAGAGCCAACGACCAAACAGGAGCCAAUUCUGAAUGAUUGAAGCGUCAUAGUCGAGACUGGUAGACCCGCAUCCUAGUGGUACAUCUCUUCGAGAAAUCAUUGAGUAAUGCCAUUUCUAAGAAGUCGGGUUGAUGCAAAAGAUGGAAAGGUGGAUGAGAAGCUGACUUUGCGACCCCCUCAUUAGCUCCAUCAGCCCACAAAGUCAGUUUCUUCCUUGGCCAGC